AUACGUAGGGGGCGAGCGUUGUCCGGAAUGAUUGGGCGUAAAGGGCGCGUAGGCGGCGCGGUAAGUCUGGAGUGAAAGUCCUGCUUUCAAGGUGGGAAUUGCUUUGGAUACUGCCGCGCUUGAGUGCAGGAGAGGUUAUCGGAAUUCCCGGUGUAGCGGUGAAAUGCGUAGAGAUCGGGAGGAACACCAGUGGCGAAGGCGGGUAACUGGACUGCAACUGACGCUGAGGCGCGAAAGUGUGGGGAGCAAACAGGAUUAGAUACCCUGGUAGUCCACACUGUAAACGAUGAAUGCUAGGUGUAAGAGGUAUCGACCCCUUUUGUGCCGGAGUCAACACAAUAAGCAUUCCGCCUGGGGAGUACGUUCGCAAGAAUGAAACUUAAAGGAAUUGACGGGG
rnacentral:rRNA from 1 species